CACGUAGGGUGCGAGCGUUGUCCGGAAUUAUUGGGCGUAAAGAGCUCGUAGGCGGUGUGUCGCGUCGGCCGUGAAAACCUGCAGCUUAACUGUGGGCUUGCGGUCGAUACGGGCAUCACUGGAGUUCGGCAGGGGAGACUGGAAUUCCUGGUGUAGCGGUGAAAUGCGCAGAUAUCGGGAGGAACACCAGUGGCGAAGGCGGAGACCUGGGCCGAUACUGACGCUGAGGUGCGAAAGCGUGGGGAGCAAACAGG
rnacentral:rRNA from 1 species